rnacentral:rRNA from 1 species
AUCGAACGCUGGCGGCCGGCCUAACACAUGCAAGUCGAACGAGUGGCGGACGGGUGAGUAAUUUCCGGGAAACUGCCUGAUGGAGGGGGCUAACUACUGGAAAAGGUAGCUAAUACCGCCUACCAUCGGUUGGGCCCAGGUGGGAUAAGCGAGUAGGUGGGGUAAAGGCGCACCGAGGCGACGCACCCUAGCUGGUCUGAGAGGAUGACCAGCCACACUGGAACUGAGAAACGGUCCAGACUACUACGGGAGGCAGCAUGGGGGAAUAUUGAGCAAUGGGCGAAGGCCUGAUGCAGCCAGGCCGCGUGUAUGAGGAAGGCCCUAGGGUGGUAAAGUACUUGCAGUAGGGAGGCGGUACCGACAGAAGAAGCACCGGCUAACUCCGUGCCAGCAGCCGCGGUAAUAG